AGAAACGUCACGCGUGCCGCGAAUGCUCUUGUGUGCUUACGUGAAUGCUGCUGCUGCUGCUGUCUUGGGCGAGAGAGCUGCAAAGGUGCAGAAAAUCGCAAGCAAGUGAAUCAAUGAUGAUCAACAAACUUCGUAGGGUAAAAUCUGAUCAUUCCGACCCUGACGUUAUUGAAGUACUGCACCAAAGGUGUGAAUCCACGCUCACAUCGCAUCACUUCGAGUGUGGUGGCGGGUGGGUGUGGUGUCGUCUGACAGUCGCCGCUUAGUGAUGUAUCAUUCGUGCGCGUUGUGCACGGAUUGGAUAUGAUGCCGGAAGCUCUAGGCUGCGGGAAAGAGACCUGGAGACGAGGACUUGCCGCUGCAGAAUUCAAUACGCUGGUGAGUGCAACUUUUGCCGGUGUUGUCGUUAAGCGUAGCACGUCGCUUGCAGUCUUCCUUACCACAGGUGACUAGGAUAGGGCUACGAUACGCUGGUCAAGAGAAAAAAAUUCUCUUUGCUUUGAAGGUGAUACGCUAGUUUAUGUCGCUCGCAGAAUUCACCUGCGAAGAGCUCUACCACAUGGUGAGCAAGAACAAGUACCCCAUUUAGUUUUGUUGCCCGUCUGUCCCACCAUUAACCAAUGA